CACGUAGGGCGCGAGCGUUGUCCGGAAUUAUUGGGCGUAAAGAGCUCGUAGGCGGCCUGUUGCGUCCGCUGUGAAAGCCCGGGGCUUAACCCCGGGUCGGCAGUGGAUACGGGCAGGCUAGAGGUAGGUAGGGGAGAAUGGAAUUCCCGGUGUAGCGGUGAAAUGCGCAGAUAUCGGGAGGAACACCAGUGGCGAAGGCGACUACCUGGCCUGUUCUUGACGCUGAGGCGCGAAAGCUAGGGGAGCAAACGGGG
rnacentral:rRNA from 1 species